AUUGAACGCUGGCGGCAGGCUUAACACAUGCAAGUCGAGCGAGCGGCGGACGGGUGAGUAAUGUAUGAGAAACUGUCUGAUGGAGGGGUAUAACUACUGGAAACGGUAGCAAAUACCGCAAAACAUCCGAUGUGCCCAGAUGGGUUUAGCGAGUAGGUGGGGUAACGGCUCACCUAGGCGACGAUCCCUAGCUGGUCUGAGAGGAUGACCAGCCACACUGGAACUGAGACACGGUCCAGACUCCGACGUGAGGCAGCAGUGGGGAAUAUUGCACAAUGGGCGCAAGCCUGAUGCAGCCACGCCGCGUGUGUGAAGAAGGCUUUCGGGUUGUAAAGCACUUUCAGCGGGGAGGCGUUACCCGCAGAAGAAGCACCGGCUAACUCCGUGCCAGCAGCCGCGGUAAUAC
rnacentral:rRNA from 1 species